CAAUCUCCGUCUGCAGACGAUAAACCAGCCUGCAAAACCUCCACCUCAACCUCGAUCUGCAGAGCUUCAACCAGCCUGCAAAACCUCCACCUCAACCUCGAUCUGCAGAGAUUAAACCAGCCUGCAAAACCUCAACCUCCAUCUGCAGAGAUUAAACCAGCCUGCAAAACCUCCACCUCAACCUCCAUCUGCAGAGAUUAAACCAGCCUGCAAAACCUCCACCACACUCUCCAUUAUGGGGUUUCCCAGGCUGGUUACCGGAGCACAGAGUGCGACGAUAUGAUCCUCUCAUGCCGACUAUAUGUUCAACUUUGGAGCACCAAGAUGACGCACUGGGAAGCUACGGAGUAAAGCCAGAGAGCAGCGAGAACUUUAGCGGGCAGGACUAACAGAAAAUGUCCAUGCUGUCAAGAUGAGCAGACUAGAAAACGCCAUCGCUCUCCUGACUCUGCCAGUCCUGCCCAGAAGAGGAGGCGUUCAAAGGCAGCCAGUCCGUACCAACCUGAAAGGCUGAUUGCUAAGCCUCGGGCUCCCAUCGACCCGGCAGACCUCCCAGCAGUCUCUCAUCUGCCAAUCCUGAACCAGUCCUCAACUGCUGCUGUGCAGGACAAUCAGCCUGUGAGGAUUCACAAUCACACAGUAGAAGAGUACCAGCAGAUUCAUCAGGAAGUGGUCGAUGA